rnacentral:rRNA from 1 species
UACGUAGGCAGCAAGCGUUGCUCGGAGUUACUGGGCGUAAAGGGUGUGUAGGCGGUUCUUUAAGUUUGGUGUGAAAUCUCCCGGCUCAACCGGGAGGGUGCGCCGAAUACUGAGGGACUAGAGUGUGGGAGAGGAAAGUGGAAUUCCUGGUGUAGCGGUGAAAUGCGUAGAUAUCAGGAGGAACACCGGUGGUGUAGACGGCUUUCUGGACCAUAACUGACGCUGAGACACGAAAGCGUGGGUAGCAAACAGG